rnacentral:rRNA from 1 species
CCUACGGGGGGCUGCAGUGGGGAAUAUUGCACAAUGGGGGAAACCCUGAUGCAGCAACGCCGCGUGAGCGAAGAAGGCCUUCGGGUCGUAAAGCUCUGUCCUAAGGGAAGAAGCAUGACGGUACCUUAGGAGGAAGCCCCGGCUAACUACGUGCCAGCAGCCGCGGUAAUACGUAGGGGGCGAGCGUUAUCCGGAAUCACUGGGGGUAAAGGGUGCGUAGGCGGCCAAUUAAGCCAGAGGUGAAAGGCUACGGCUCAACCGUAGUAAGCCUUUGGAACUGAAUGGCUUGAGUGCAGGAGAGGGGAGGGGAUUGCUUAGUGUAGCGGUGAAAUGCGUAGAUAUUAGGGGGAACACCAGUGGUGAGGGCGACUCUCUGAACUGUAACUGACGCUGAGGCACGAAAGCGUGGGGAGCAAACAGGAUUAGAUACCCCUGUAGUC